GGUUGUAGCUAAGUGGUAGAGCCCUUGCUUGGCAUGGGCAAGGCCCUGGGUUCUAUCCUCAGCACCA
rnacentral:tRNA from 1 species